GCGCUUGCUUUGGCAGUACAUACACUAAAAAUGGAAUGAUACAGAGAAGAUUGGCGUGGCCCCUGUGGAAGGAUGACACUUUAAAAAAAAAAAAAAAAAAACCACAA
rnacentral:snRNA from 1 species